ensembl:lncRNA
UUUUUUGUUUUCUGUAAAGAGCCAAACUAAAGGAGAAUAAAAAGAUCUAACAAAGAGAAAUCAUUUAAGGUACAUUUCUUCUCUUCAGGAAAUUACCUGCUUUGGCUUACAUCUUUAAUGCCUCUCAGUCUUUAACAGCUAGCACAAGAAAGACAGUAAGUGUGAGAAUGGAAGAGAGAAAACAUGCAUUAUCUUGGUGGGAAAUUGCAUAGAUUUUGUUGUUGCUGCUGCUGCUGCUAAGUCACUUCAGUCGUGUCCGACUCUGUGCUACCCCACAGACAAGAGCCCACCAGGCUCCCCCGUCCCUGGGAUUCACCAGACACAGGAGGAUAUUCAGGAAUUCAGCUGGGAUGAAGAAUACAGGAGAACUGUGGCCUAUAAAAAUGAGAAAGCUUUGGAAGAAUCAGAUCUAAUCACCAAGGGCAAGCGAACUUGAUCUCUAAGUCAUUCUUCAAAUUUUCACUUAGAAGACUUUUGGAGAAGCCACUUCUGGAAAAAACAGAUCAUCUGAUCCUUUGUUUCUACAUGGAGAGAGUCAGCUGCAGCUGAGCAGCAGUUACCUCUUCCUACAGUCGCCAUGGUCCCCACCUGACCUCCUUGACACACGUGUGUUAGCAUGGCUUUCAAGACACUGACUUUGCAACUGUCAUCAUGAAGUUGCUCUGAUGCCUGUAUAGACGUCAAUACAGAAACCAAUUCUGAUCCUCUGGACCUGAAUAAGGAUAUAUGUUAUGGACUGAAUAUAAAUAAAAAUUCAUCUCCAAUUGGCUUGACAUGAGCCCUCAUCCAAAAGAAGCCUCGUGCUGGGUGGUGACAAAUUGGCUCAUUUAGAUAUUCUCUCUUGAAAAGUGUGACUCAUCUAUGAUGUAGCCUGAGCUAGCUGUCAAU